GUUAAUAAGCUUAAAUAGCAAUUGUUUUGAAAACAUCAGAUAGAAAUUAAAACUUUCUAUUAACUUUA
rnacentral:tRNA from 1 species